rfam:Ricinus communis cultivar Hale ctg_1100012359120, whole genome shotgun sequence.
AGUCCAUGGUGUGGGCAGCAUCACAAUAGGUCCUUGUACCUCUCCCAAGUGUCAUACAUCGGCUCAUCAUCAAACUACACAAAAGAAGAUAUAUCAUUUCUAAGUUU